rnacentral:rRNA from 1 species
UACAGGGGGUGCAAACGUUGCUCGGAAUUAUUGGGCGUAAAGCGCGCGUAGGCGGCUACUUAAGUCGGAUGUGAAAGCCCUUGGCUCAACUGAGGAAGUGCACCCGAAACUGAGUGGCUAGAGUACGAAAGAGGGUCGCGGAAUUCCCGGUGUAGAGGUGAAAUUCGUAGAUAUCGGGAGGAACACCGGUGGCGAAGGCGGCGACCUGGGUCGAUACUGACGCUGAGGUGCGAAAGCGUGGGGAGCAAACAGG